UAUGCCAUGCCAUGCACACGUGGGAAUCAGAACACAACUUUUGGGAGUCAGUUCUCUCCUUCCCUGAUGUAGGGCCUGGGAAUUGAACUCAGAUCAUCAUGCUUGGCAGCAAGUGCUAUUAACCAUGGAGGCAUCUUGCUGGCUCAUCUUCUGUUUAACUCAGCAUAAUGCAGCAGUGGCAGCGGCAAAAUUAACAAGCACAACGAAGGCCAUUGCUGGAUCAAGGAAGAAAGCAGAACAGGUGAACAGGAGCAGCCAUCUCCCCAGCAGACCCAAGAGAGCAUCAUACAUAGUAAACGGAAUCUCUCCACACUGGGAUUCUAUUGCAACAACUGGAUGCUCCCCUACUGUGUAAGCUGUCUCAGACAAACCCCACAGAACAGAUGGAACAACCCACCACUCCAAACAUCUCUUCCUGGCUCUUUGCUGGAACCCCAGGGGGCAAGAUAUCCACAACCACUAGAAACAAUGUCUUCCGACUCCUAAGCAGACACUGUGUCAGCCUCCAGCCUCCCACCGGCUGCAAAGAAUAAAAAUAAAUGAACCAAAGACCAGACCAUCUUGAAACUUUUAAAAGUUGAUGCCUGCAUUUGUUGGUACAAUGAGAAUGGACAGAACCUGGACUUUGCUGGAAGGGGCCUGGAGAUUGGGGGGUGGAGGUUACAUUGUCAUUUCUGCACAGAAUAGUUCUGCAUUCUGUGUUCUGUGGCAGAAAGGCAGCAAGUGCUAGUUUUGGCCUUCUGUCCCAGGCAGUACUUUGGGAGAUUCUAGUGUAAAGCUUUUAUGCUUUUUCUCCAGGUUCUUUCAGUUACUGUAACUUCUGCUCCAAGGGGGUGAAAUUAGAAGUAAAUUCUUUCUGCCUUAUGCUUUGGAUUCCCCAGAGUCUGAGAAGGAGUCAGAUUGUCAUUAAGGCUCUGCAUCUCCCCAGGGUGGCUGAGAUGGCUCCCCCCCCCUCCCCCCGAAGGAAUACCUUCUGGCU
rnacentral:lncRNA from 1 species